rnacentral:lncRNA from 1 species
AACAUGGUGAGCUGAUCCCUUUCUUCAUCCCUCCGAGAUCACUGGGAUGGAAAUCAGGAAGUACCUAUUUAUUGGCUAAAGACUCUCUCUGUGAAAGACACAGAAAGCAGGCCCUGGAGAAGCAUUCACAGCUUCUCUGCUCAAUGAGGCCGGAUGUCUUUGCUGCAUCAGAGCGGUCUGCGUGGCCAGGGCUGAUAAAGGAUGGAAAAAUACUUCUGUCUCCCCUACCCUGAAGUCUGGAUCGCAGGGAAGCCGGACCGGUUUACAUCCACACUGAGGCAUCCAGGAUGAGCUUUCCAAGGCGGGGACCAUGAGCCCCGAGCAAGGAUUUGUUUAUGGAAGUGCAAAAGGAACGUUAACGAGGCUGUCCAGAGGCCCCCUCUCAUCUCCUCCUGGAAGCGCUCACUCCCAGGAGCCCCUUCCCCUCCAAGAACUUCCCAAGACCUGGAUUUCAUUAAAUACCAUGGAGAGAAAACACUUGUUAAUCAUCUGCAAAAUUUGGACUCUCAAAGGCCCGUGUCCGUGGUUCUCAAGAUGCAAGCCCCGGGCCGGCAGCGUCAGCAGCACCUGGGAACACGCUGGAAAUGCACAGGCAGCUAAAUUCAGUAUCAGCAGCGAGGGCUGGAAAGCAUCUCUCCUUCAACAGCUUCCCCUCUGGCUGCCGGUGCCCAGGGAAAGUGCCCUUGUCCUGCAGAAGCAGGGACAGACCAACACGAGCAGAGCACCUCACAACAGCAGGGCGAGGCGGGAUAACAAUUUUCACAUCGAAACGAGAGAAAAGACUGCCACGGCCGGUGAGACACCAAGAGGAAG